UGAACGCUAGCUACAGGCUUAACACAUGCAAGUCGAGGGGCAGCAUGGUCUUAGCUUGCUAAGGCCGAUGGCGACCGGCGCACGGGUGAGUAACACGUAUCCAACCUGCCGUCUACUCUUGGACAGCCUUCUGAAAGGAAGAUUAAUACAAGAUGGCAUCAUGAGUCCGCAUGUUCACAUGAUUAAAGGUAUUCCGGUAGACGAUGGGGAUGCGUUCCAUUAGAUAGUAGGCGGGGUAACGGCCCACCUAGUCUUCGAUGGAUAGGGGUUCUGAGAGGAAGGUCCCCCACAUUGGAACUGAGACACGGUCCAAACUCCUACGGGAGGCAGCAGUGAGGAAUAUUGGUCAAUGGGCGAGAGCCUGAACCAGCCAAGUAGCGUGAAGGAUGACUGCCCUAUGGGUUGUAAACUUCUUUUAUAAAGGAAUAAAGUCGGGUAUGUAUACCCGUUUGCAUGUACUUUAUGAAUAAGGAUCGGCUAACUCCGUG
rnacentral:rRNA from 1 species